GCGAUUAGCUCAGUUGGGAGAGCACCUGCCUUACAAGCAGGGGGUCACUGGUUCGAGCCCGGUAUCGCCCACC
rnacentral:tRNA from 1 species